UGUCACCAACCUAAGACAGGGAU
rnacentral:piRNA from 1 species